GUGCUUGCUUAGGCAGCACAUAUACUGUACUAAAAUUGGAACGUGACAGAGAAGAUUAGCAUGGCCCCUGCACAA